rnacentral:rRNA from 1 species
GACGAACGCUGGCGGCGUGCUUAACACAUGCAAGUCGAACGGAAAGGCCCUGCUUUUGUGGGGUGCUCGAGUGGCGAACGGGUGAGUAACACGUGAGUAACCUGCCCUUGACUUUGGGAUAACUUCAGGAAACUGGGGCUAAUCCCGGAUAGGAGCUCCUGCUGCAUGGUGGGGGUUGGAAAGUUUCGGCGGUUGGGGAUGGACUCGCGGCUUAUCAGCUUGUUGGUGGGGUAGUGGCUUACCAAGGCUUUGACGGGUAGCCGGCCUGAGAGGGUGACCGGCCACAUUGGGACUGAGAUACGGCCCAGACUCCUACGGGAGGCAGCAGUGGGGAAUAGUGCACAAUGGGCGGAAGCCUGAUGCAGCAACGCCGCGUGCGGGAUGACGGCCUUCGGGUUGUAAACCGCUUUCGCCUGUGACGAAGCGUGAGUGACGGUAAUGGGUAAAGAAGCACCGGCUAACUACGUG